UUCCGACACUCCCUGAACCUCCCACCAGCCCUGCAACAUGGCGCCUCUGGAUGGCGCUACCGGGCCAUGUUUCCGCCGGUGAGGCGAGGUGGGCUGUGUGCGGGCCGGGGCCGGGUAAACUGCCAGCUGAGUGGAUGUCGUGGUCGUGGACGGCCGCCUAGUUGGCUCCAGUCUCCCAACACUCCGCUGACAACUGGAUGGAUCUUUUUGCUCGGAGGAGCUUGUUUCUGAAGCCGAUGCGGUUGAGGAAGACUGCGAGGAGAUGAAGUGAGGAAGUACCAGCCGAGCGAAAACAGGAUGUAACUAACCGCAGACCAGAAUGUCAAGUGGAACAAAAGAGACUUCUUCUUGUUAUUCGCCUCCCUGCCAGAGUCUCAGCGGACUGAACUAACCAGCAGCUAAACCGGCUAACGCUAGCUGAGUUAACGCUAGCUACUUCACGGUUUCGAGCAUCCUCGCUUUGCUUCCCUGCCCGGUGAGUGGAUCUCAUUGACAUUUACUCGCCAUGGCAGCUGUGGUUAGCUACUCUCCACCAUGGUGGGUGAACCUCCUGCACCGACUUCCCCAUUUCAACCUUCAGUUCGAGCAAACGAGCAGUGAUUUCCAGCCGGAGGACUGGACGUAUCAACAGUCCAUCCUGUUACUGGGAGGUGUGGCGCUCGCCUGUCUGGCCCUGGACCUGCUGUUCCUGUUCAUUUAUUCUAUUUGUCUGUGCUGCCGGCGGAACAAAAAUGAGGAGCAGCCCAACGCUGACUGCUGCUGCACAGCCUGGUGUGUCAUCAUCGCAACACUCGUCUGCAGCGCUGGCAUUGCUGUGGGUUUCUAUGGGAACGGCGAGACUUGUGAUGGAGUGAAUCGGUUGACGUAUUCCCUGCGCCAUGCUAACCGCACAAUCACUGGGGUGCAGAAGCUGGUAUAUGACGGUACAUCCUCACUGAACCAGACCGUAGAAGACAAUCUGCAACAGCUUGAGAGCCAGUACGCACAGCAAGCGGACUACCUGUCCAUCGUCCAAAAGCUGCAGGGCCAGCUGGAUGAGCUGGUCAGGCAGAUGGUGGAGAUUCCCUUCUGGGACAACACCAACAUCUCCUUGGAGGAACUGGCCGUCACGAUUGAGCUGUAUGACUGGUACAGGUGGCUGGGCUACAUAGGCCUGCUACUGUUCGAUGUCCUCAUCUGCCUUCUGGUGCUGUUCGGCCUCAUUCGCAACUCCAAGGGAACGCUUAUAGGGGUGUGCUUGUUUGGCGUGGUGGCUCUGGUAAUCAGCUGGGUCUCCCUGGGGCUGGAGUUGGCUGUCUCAGUGACUUCCAGUGACUUCUGCGUUGCUCCCGACAUGUAUGUCACCAAAGUGGCGAGCCAGUAUGGCGUCGUCAAUCAAGACAUCCUGCAGUACUACCUUAGUUGCAGUGUGGAACAAACCAACCCCUUCCAGCAGAAGCUUUCUGGGAGCCACAAAGCAUUAGUGGAGAUGCAGGAUGACGUGUCGGAACUGCUGCGCUCUGCCACUGGAGAGUAUAAACAAACUAAGGGAAGUUUGGAAGAGAUCCAGGGGAUCCUGAACACCACAGAGAUCAGUCUACAUCAGCUCACCGCUCUGGUGGACUGUCGCAGCCUGCACAUGGACUACGUCCAGGCUAUGACAGGAAUGUGUUAUGACGGACUGGAAGGCCUCAUCUACCUCGUGUUCUUCUCCUUCGUCACUGCUCUCAUGUUCAGCUCAAUCGUCUGCAGUGUCCCUCACACCUGGCAUGCAAAGAGGAGCGAUGAUGACAGCGAGGACGAGUCUCUGAGCCACGGGGGAAGGCAAAACCACGAUAACCUGUACCGGGUCCACAUGCCCAGCCUGUACAGCUGUGGCAGCAGCUACGGCAGCGAGACCUCCAUCCCUGCUGCAGCCCACACCGUCAGCAACGCACCAGUCACUGAGUACAUGGCUCAGAACGCCAACUUUCAGAACUCUCGCUGUGAAAACACGCCUCUGAUAGGACGAGAGUCUCCUCCCCCCUCGUUGUAUUUGACUGCCGCCGACAGUAACAGCGGUCAGAGCUGGCAGUUAAAGCCUUCGGCGAGUUCAAGAUCGUUUUGGUAACCUCAUCUGCUAUCCUAACAGUACACCUCCAGCAUGCGGGCCAAGUACCUGGCCAACAGCCGACCCGAUCCCAACAACCCUCCUGCGCAGUAGACCACGCUGGACUCCACCGAGCACUCAUCCAGUCCGUCAGUCGUUACUUCACCUUCCUCUGCUCUCCUCCAACAUGUCACUUGACUUAAAAUGGGGAAAAAAAACAAAUGUGCUUUCGCUGGCUGGUUGAAGCAAAACUUCCCGCAGAUCAUCAACUCAUCUCAUUCAGACAUCGGGGAGUGCUUUUUCUCUUAAUACCCACAACCCUCGUCUGCAAGAUUCAUCACAGCUCUUUGAAGACGAUGUCGAGGCAGAGGAGGACAGACUCGUGCUUUUAACGAUAAUUUGCCUCUUCAUUGGACUGCUUGUUAGUCUCUCCACGUUCACCGUCGAGAUGUGGAGCCUCAUCUCCCUGAACAGAAGUGGGAAUUGUCCACACACACACACACACACACACACACACUUGACUCUGAUCUUCUCGACCAAAUGCAGCAGAAAUUCCUCUCACCGAUUUAUUCCAACAAGAAAUCUUAACACAAGCGUAUGUGGAAAAAAAUGUGCAUAUGAAACAUGAUGCAUUGGCGAUGCAGUGUCUCACAAAUGUGUUUUAGCAUUUUAAGCAGCGGUAGUAAGAGUGAGUGGAUGCUGUGACGGGAUUGCGACGACUCUGCUCUCUCUGUGAUAAAAGAGGAAUUCUGCCGACGUUCCUGUUGAAGCAUGACGAUCCUUCAAAAUCGUGGAGUGAAAUGUUUGUCUCCUAGAUGUGCUUUUUAGCCCCCCUGUGCUUUUCGUGCCAACAAGUGAAGCACAACUCUUUUACUAUCUGAAUAUCUUUUUUUCAGUGUCUUUACUCGAGGCCAGUUUGUACAGUCGACGGCUCCCGGUCGCCUGCGCAGUCGAACGAGACCAUGAGCUUGACUUUUUCACCUCCUUUACGUGCUGUAAAACAUCAUCACGCCGACGCAAUCUUUCUGUUUUAGGGUAGAAGUCAUAUUCUCUUUGUUGUUUGUAACGCGAGGCCGUUGUACAGAUGAUAAGCUUUCACAAAAAGAUGAAAAAAGAAAAAAGUGGCUAAAAUUGACGUUUCAUUUUUAAUUUCUCUUUCUUUUUAAAUGAUUUUUUAUUUGAUUUGCUCUUUGUUGUUUUUUUUUUAUUAUUAUUAUUUCAUCUUAGAAUCUGUAGCAAGCACAAUGUGUUGCUUCAUUAAUGUGAAUACAGUAAAUAGAUUUUUAAUUUUCAUUGAGUUUUUUUUUCUUUUCUUUUCUGGAAAAAAAAAUCACUGUAGAUGUUUUUUGUUUUUUUUUUUCUACAUCAUUUUUGCAGUCUCUAAAAUGUGUACAUGUUAAACCUGUGGUUAUAUUGAGCUUGAAUGCUGUGUUUUAAAAUUAAACCAACCUUAACUGUAGAGCA